AGAACAUCCUGCCCUGCUUCCCGCUGCCCCCAUUGGUCUAGGACAGUGAACCAUGGACAGUGGGAGCUUCGAUGAGCUGAACCUGCUGACAUGGCAGGUAAACAAACUGGCCUGGCUCACCAGGGUGCUUAU